ACAAGCAACGCACAGACUGCCUUUGAAUCUUUUUCAGUAGCCAUGGUCACCCUCCUUCUUUAUUUAGUGUUAAGUGUUAUUCAUUUAGCAGUAAAAAAAUGAACAAAAGAGAGAAAAGCAGGUGCUCUAAGUUUACUCUACAGCCAGCUGUCAGGAAGACACACUUUACUUAUUUAUUUAUUUAUUUGUUGCGGCACAUAAAGGGGAUUUAUUGAAAGUGUUUGGGGAAAAAAAUAUGAAGCAUACGUUCAAUCAGCCUUUUCUGUAAUCAAUAAGGUUACUGAAGCAGAAAAAACUAUAAUGAGUUGUCACAGAAUUUGAAUUCCCAUUCGGUUCCUUUUAUAUGUAUUCAGGCAGAAAAUCAUCAUGGAAAGUGGAAGUUGGGAAGGAAGGCCUGGCUAUGACUCUUGGGUUGGAUUUGUUUUGAAUUUACCAGGUACCAUUUGACCGACUGAUUGCUGAGUGUCAGGAGACAGGCCUCUAAGAUGGGCAGGAAAACACUUUUUCUCCUCAGCUUGCAGCUCAUGUGUUUCCUAGCCUGGAAUAUUUUGCUAGCUAUUUGGCUCCACGGAUCUCCAGUCUCACUGGAGACCUGCAGAACAACUAUGAUUUAUUUGCAGCAACAGCAGCAAACAACUGCCCCAAAUGCCAAGGAGAAAAUAUUCCCAUCAACAGAAAAUCUGACCUCUGCUUGUCUGAGUGUGUUCCAUCUCCUCUCUUGGUUGAGACAAGGACUCUGCUCGAGCAGACACCUGCUCACAGCAAGGAUUGACUUAUUUAGCUGAAGGGACCCUGAUGUACUUACCAGGGUUUCCCCCUCCUUUGUGUUUGGUUGUUCCUUAAAUGGCAUAAGGUUUUUUGGUGGGGUUUUUUUGUUU